UAGAGUUUGAUCAUGGCUCAGGAUGAACGCUAGCGGCAGGCUUAAUACAUGCAAGUCGAGGGGUAACAGGGGAGCUUGCUCCCGCUGACGACCGGCAAACGGGUGCGGAACACGUACGCAACCUUCCCAAAACUGGUGAAUAGCCCUCCGAAAGGAGGAUUAAUACACCGUAACAUAACGAAGUGGCAUCACUUUGUUAUUAUAGUUCCGGCGGUUUUGGAUGGGCGUGCGCAUGAUUAGAUAGUUGGCGGGGUAACGGCCCACCAAGUCUACGAUCAUUAAUUGGUGUGAGAGCACGACCAGUCACACGGGCACUGAGACACGGGCCCGACUCCUACGGGAGGCAGCAGUAAGGAAUAUUGGUCAAUGGACGAAAGUCUGAACCAGCCAUGCCGCGUGAAGGAUUAAGGCCCUCUGGGUUGUAAACUUCUUUUAUCUGGGACGAAAAAAGGGUAUUCUUACCCACUUGACGGUACCAGAGGAAUAAGCACCGGCUAACUCCGUGCCAGCAGCCGCGGUAAU
rnacentral:rRNA from 1 species